rnacentral:rRNA from 1 species
GGCUCAGGAUGAACGCUAGCUACAGGCUUAACACAUGCAAGUCGAGGGGCAUCAGGAAGAAAGCUUGCUUUCUUUGCUGGCGACCGGCGCACGGGUGAGUAACACGUAUCCAACCUGCCCUUUACUCGGGGAUAGCCUUUCGAAAGAAAGAUUAAUACCCGAUGGCAUAAUGAUUCCGCAUGGUUUCAUUAUUAAAGGAUUCCGGUAAAGGAUGGGGAUGCGUUCCAUUAGGUUGUUGGUGAGGUAACGGCUCACCAAGCCUUCGAUGGAUAGGGGUUCUGAGAGGAAGGUCCCCCACAUUGGAACUGAGACACGGUCCAAACUCCUACGGGAGGCAGCAGUGAGGAAUAUUGGUCAAUGGGCGCUAGCCUGAACCAGCCAAGUAGCGUGAAGGAUGAAGGCUCUAUGGGUCGUAAACUUCUUUUAUAUAAGAAUAAAGUGCAGUAUGUAUACUGUUUUGUAUGUAUUAUAUGAAUAAGGAUCGGCUAACUCCGUGCCAGCAGCCGCGGUAAUACGGAGGAUCCGAGCGUUAUCCGGAUUUAUUGGGUUUAAAGGGAGCGUAGGUGGACUGGUAAGUCAGUUGUGAAAGUUUGCGGCUCAACCGUAAAAUUGCAGUUGAUACUGUCAGUCUUGAGUACAGUAGAGGUGGGCGGAAUUCGUGGUGUAGCGGUGAAAUGCUUAGAUAUCACGAAGAACUCCGAUUGCGAAGGCAGCUCACUGGACUGCAACUGACACUGAUGCUCGAAAGUGUGGGUAUCAAACAGGAUUAGAUACCCUGGUAGUCCACACAGUAAACGAUGAAUACUCGCUGUUUGCGAUAUACAGUAAGCGGCCAAGCGAAAGCAUUAAGUAUUCCACCUGGGGAGUACGCCGGCAACGGUGAAACUCAAAGGAAUUGACGGGGGCCCGCACAAGCGGAGGAACAUGUGGUUUAAUUCGAUGAUACGCGAGGAACCUUACCCGGGCUUAAAUUGCAGUGGAAUGAUGUGGAAACAUGUCAGUGAGCAAUCACCGCUGUGAAGGUGCUGCAUGGUUGUCGUCAGCUCGUGCCGUGAGGUGUCGGCUUAAGUGCCAUAACGAGCGCAACCCUUAUCUUUAGUUACUAACAGGUCAUGCUGAGGACUCUAGAGAGACUGCCGUCGUAAGAUGUGAGGAAGGUGGGGAUGACGUCAAAUCAGCACGGCCCUUACGUCCGGGGCUGCACACGUGUUACAAUGGGGGGUACAGAAGGCAGCUAGCGGGUGACCGUAUGCUAAUCCCAAAAGCCUCUCUCAGUUCGGAUCGAAGUCUGCAACCCGACUUCGUGAAGCUGGAUUCGCUAGUAAUCGCGCAUCAGCCACGGCGCGGUGAAUACGUUCCCGGGCCUUGUACACACCGCCCGUCAAGCCAUGGGAGCCGGGGGUACCUGAAGUACGUAACCGCAAGGAUCGUCCUAGGGUAAAACUGGU